AGUGAACGCUGGCGGUAGGCCUAACACAUGCAAGUCGAACGGCAGCACAGAGGAGCUUGCUCCUUGGGUGGCGAGUGGCGGACGGGUGAGGAAUACAUCGGAAUCUACUCUGUCGUGGGGGAUAACGUAGGGAAACUUACGCUAAUACCGCAUACGACCUACGGGUGAAAGCAGGGGACCUUCGGGCCUUGCGCGAUUGAAUGAGCCGAUGUCGGAUUAGCUAGUUGGCGGGGUAAAGGCCCACCAAGGCGACGAUCCGUAGCGGGUCUGAGAGGAUGAUCGGCCACACUGGAACGGGGAAACGGUCCAGCCUCCUACGGGAGGCAGCAGUGGGGAAUAUUGGACAAUGGGCGCAAGCCUGAUCCAGCCAUACCGCGUGGGUGAAGAAGGCCUUCGGGUUGUAAAGCCCUUUUGUUGGGAAAGAAAUCCAGCUGGCUAAUACCCGGUUGGGAUGACGGUACCCAAAGAAUAAGCACCGGCUAACUUCGUGCCAGCCGCCGCCGUAA
rnacentral:rRNA from 1 species